rnacentral:lncRNA from 1 species
CUCUGAGAGAGCUAGAAUUUAUUGGCACUCCUCUCCUGGAAGCCAACACCCAUGAAUGCUGACAUCUGUGUAUACCUACAAUUCCGUAAGCAUUUGGCUUGGACAAGGUCCUGGUGACUUGAUCCCCUGCCACCACAGAGCUUCUCAAUAGGGGCUCAUCAGGGCCUAAGGGCAAGCGAGGGCAGUGCCUCACAGGAUGAGGGGGGGACGCAGGCCCAGCUAAGGGAGGAAAGCUGAAGUAGAUUCAUCGGAACCCUUCUAACUUCUGCUCCCUCUCCCCGCUCUAAAACGCUUCAGACCACACCCCGGAGCCUGCUUUGCAGUCUCAGGAAAUCAGCCUGUGUUGAUCUUCAGCAGCAUUACAAACAAGAGAAUUUUAAAAAAUGAGCAAGACAAUACAAAUCACUGAAAAGAAAUCGAACAGGAAUUACCAGACUCUCAUGCAUGCACAGGAACCCCAAGAUAGCAGCUCCUCCUGUGACCACAAUGCGGCCCAGCGCCUCAACAGAGGCUCAGAAUAUGAAGUCAUAAUCUCAGCCCUGGAUCUGUCUAGAGACACUUGAUGUAAAUGUAUACCAUUUGAAUCAGUGUGGACAAAUACUCGCCAUGUCCCAGAAAAUAAUUGAAAGCACAAGUUCUUUUGAAGGUAAGCCAGCAAUACUAACUUUCUGUG